AUACGGAGGAUCCGAGCGUUAUCCGGAUUUAUUGGGUUUAAAGGGUGCGCAGGCGGCCAUUUAAGUCAGCGGUUAAAUCGUGGGGCUCAACCCCAUUCUGCCGUUGAUACUGGGUGGCUUGAUUGCGGUCGAGGUUGGCGGAAUUCGUUGUGUAGCGGUGAAAUGCAUAGAUAUGACGAAGAACACCGAUUGCGUAGGCAGCUGACCAGACCGCAAAUGACGCUCAUGCACGAAAGUGCGGGGAUCGAACAGGAUUAGAUACCCUGGUAGUCCGCACAGUAAACGAUGAAUACUUGUCUUCGGCGAUAUAAUGUCGGAGGCAAAGCGAAAGCGAUAAGUAUUCCACCUGGGGAGUACGCCGGCAACGGUGAAACUUAAAGGAAUUGACGUGG
rnacentral:rRNA from 1 species